ACCCGAAGCGUAUGCUCAGUCAGUAGAGCAUGAGACUCUUAAUCUCAGGUAGGGCUGCCAUACGUCCAGGAUUUCAAAGGUGGAAUUGACGUCCAGGGGGAAUUUCCAAAAUGUGGCGCUUUGUCCUGGAUCUUAGUCUUGGUUUUUACUUUUUGAAACAUGGCAAACCUAUCUCAAGGUCAUGGGAUCAAAACCCACUUUGGGCC